AUUGUGAUUAUUCUCACAUUGGAAUAUUAUUCAGCCAUAAAAAGGACUGGCACAUGCCAUAAUUCAGACAAACCUCAAAAAUACUAUGCUAAGUGAAAGAAGCCACCACAGAAAAGGUCACAUACUGAGCAAUCAACUCCAUUUAUAUGAUAAGUGCAGAAUAGGCAAAUCCAGAGAGACAGAAACCAGCAUUGUGAAUAGAGUAAUAAUAUAAAGUAUGUAUGGACAUAUUGGGGUUCUGCACAGGCUAUUGUCUGAAAAAAGAAAUCCACUAUGGGGGUCAGAAAUUUGAAAACCAUUGCUUUUGUGUUCUUAAUACCAGAUGUCAGGUUUCUGUACAACUGAGGGUGGAGAGACAGAAAACAAGAAUGUUUGCCUCCUCGCCAUGCCACCGCUCCAAUGCACGAAAUCAGAGAGAAUUCUUCUAGGGGAAAUAUCUUGGAUGAGCCAAUUGGGGGUCAAGAGCGAUUCCAGGCAAUUGGGGGCUCACUCCUGAAGAGAGCGGAGGAGAAGAGAGAGAGGCUCACCCAAAAUGGUGGGGAACAUUCAGUGUUCUACUUUCAGUUGUGUCCAUUUCAGCAAUACCAAGUCCUCCACGAACAACCGCCCCUGACAGCUUGCAGCCUCACUGGGUGCUGGAUCACUGGCCCCUGGACCACCGUGCCGUAAGCCUGCACACCGGACAUCCUCACUGACACCUGCCGCACCACUGCUGUCCUGGCCACCCCCAGGCACCAGAGGCAGCCACUGCCAUCGGGGGAGAGAGCAAGUGAAGAUACAGACUUUGGGAGCCCAUCCCAGGACCUAGCACUCUGCCUGCUGUCAUGAUAGACUGCUCAGGCACAGAGUAUUGUUGGCUAUUGUUGGCUAUUGUUGGCAGUAGGAUCUCCUUGAGGCCCCAGGAGGCAAAUCCCUCAGUGAAACAAAGUUUAUAUUGCCUUUUCAAAAUCCUUUCAGUAAAAUCAUGAAUUCAGAUGCUACUAAUCAGACACCGGUGCAUCUGCACUAAGAGCUCAGCUAAGCUGACUUGUUUGCCGGACGAAACACAUGUUCACUAAGACAAUGAUAACACAGCCUCAAAAAGGAGAAAGUAAGUGGUUUCAAGAACUUUUGAUCAAGCCAUUUGCAUUAAAAUAUUGACACCUGCCUUGUCCCUCCGUGUGGCCCCUGCACUUCUUCAAAAACGAUCCACAGUUUAGGCUUCUAAUUCAUUCAAGGUGGCUUGCCAUGAACAAGACUGGAUUCAGGAAGGUUCUUCUACCCACUUGUUCUAUGUAAGGAGUCCAAACAGCCAUCUGACCUCCACCUAGUAUCCUGUAGAUUCAAAUAUAAAAUUGGUCUUAAAAGCUAGUCGUUUGGGAGAACUUUUAUGUUUCAACUACUGGUGUAUUGGUGUCACAUCAUCACAGCUGCAAAAGACUGAAUCUAAACCAGGGCAGUCUUUGCUUCAUUAUUCAGUUUUUCAUGCCUUCCAUAAAUACUGAGCUCUUUCUAUGUGCCAAGCACUGAGGUGCUCUGUUCUCUUUAAUACUUACAGCAAAGCUAUGGGUCAGGUAUUUGCUUUUAUUAUAGAUGAACUACUGAAGUCCAGAGAGAUCAAGUCACAUGGCCCAAGACCAGCAGAGAGGAAGAGGGGAAAGAAGGAGUCCAGUGCCCCAAACCCUGCCUGUGAACUAAGGAUGCAGCAAUGCCAUCUUGAGAUAUGCUUGGAAAGAGUCCAAAGGUAAUUGACUGCUUUCCUCUCUUGUUCAUUUUCUUCUAGAGUAGAGCGUGGAGUCUUGGCAGCCAAAGCCGGUUGGGAAGGUCCCAGCUUAUGGGAUACCCCUCACUGAUCUGAGAAGAGGGUAUAGGUCAGGGUCUGGGUCAGUGGCUAACCACCGUGGCUGAGGCGGCCUGGCCAGAGCGCUGCUGAGAGGAGCCAAGAGCUUAGCUGGGGAAGCAGGACCUGGGCCAAGUCUGAAACGGAGGGGAAAUGGAGUCCUGAGAACCGGCCCUGCAGCUCAGCUGUAGAAGAGCAGCGUGUGGGGGGAGGAUGCAGCUCAGAAGCCAGACUGUGGUGUCCAGGCUGCGCUGAUGCCCCAUUUUACAUGUUGUGCCCAGGUUGGGGUGGUGCACGGAGCUGGAGAAUCAGAGACAGGAUCACACAAGGCCCGGUUCAUCCAUGAUAACAAAGCUCAAAGAGGUUUUGCAACUAACCUCCCACUGUCCCGUGAGAACAGUCUAUUGGAAUGCGUUGAUACAUCAACCCAAUGCACCAAGUUUUCUGUUUAGGGUUUCUUAUUCUCUAUUUUUAAAAACCUCUUUUUUGUAUGUGCUAGAAGUGUAUCUGUUCAAAAGGCUUAAUGCGUCUUGAUCUUUCUGCUGCCCUUGAGCAAUUGAGAUUGUCGGAGCUGAAAGGACCCUGGAGAUUAUCUUCGCUGCCCCCUCCUGUCUCAGAUGAAGAAACUGAGUCCCAGAAGGCAGCAGUGAUGUAUACGCGUCUCACAGCAAGCAUGGACCGGAACCAGACCUCCCGCAGGCGGCCUUCCUUCCUCCAGGCAGGCCCCCACCAGGCCUCUGCGGGUGCAGAGUCGCCGCCAGAUCAGACCAGCAAGGGGACCUCCAGGAACACCAAGGCCCUGGCUGCUCUGUGGGUUUGAGUGAAAUGACAGCUCUUCCUUCAACUGUCCCUUUAGCUUCCUUUUUCCCUCCUCCAUCUCUGAGGCCACCUGGGAAUUUUGAUGUGAAAAGUCCAGUCUUGCAGCGCGUGAGGAUUAUGAGGAACUGAGAAAUCACCUGCUUUCAGGCCCAAGAGCUCAGAGACACCCCCGGGGCCCCCAGCCCCUCUGCUGGGGGAGGCGGGCCUCUUGAUAAGUUGCUGUUUCUCAGCUCCAACCCCAGAUUCAGAUGCUGGGGCACUCUGCAAACGCCGUUGCUGCCUGGCCAACUGCCCCUUGUGAGGCUCUGGUAGGAGGGGGCAGAAGCCGGAGGCAGAAGGAGGAAGGCCUGCACUCUGCUCCUGUUUCUGGAGGCAGCACCCCCACACACUUCACUGGGUGGCCGCAGACCCACCCAGCGCCACAGUGAGGUCCGGUUUGCAGCUGUCCCCACCCUUACAGAGCUGGCCUCAUGGGCACCAGUCCCCCAGGCAGGGGCUUCCCACCAACAGGCCUGACGUUCUCCUCCGUGGGGCCCCUUCCUCCACACUUGUGAAUUUUAAUAAUACCACUUUCUGUUUGCACCUUAAGGGCAGUAACUGCUUCUUGCCAUGGCUCCCUUCCAUCGUACCAGGGCUUGCUCUUUGCCUUUGCAGCUAUCUAGAUAACAAUUCUUUACAUUAAAUUCUCUCUGUUAAAAUAACGGAGGCAUUUCUGUCUCCUGAUGGAUAUGCUGGCAGAGCUGGGAUCCAGGUCCAUGUCUUCUUCCUCCUGGUUUAGGACUCUGCAUUGCAGCCCAAUAAAUGUGCAUUCAGUUAUAUGCAUGAGUAAAGUAAGUUCCUCCA